rnacentral:rRNA from 1 species
AUUGAACGCUGGCGGCAGGCCUAACACAUGCAAGUCGAGCGGAUGAAGGGAGCUUGCUCCUGGAUUCAGCGGCGGACGGGUGAGUAAUGCCUAGGAAUCUGCCUGGUAGUGGGGGAUAACGUCCGGAAACGGGCGCUAAUACCGCAUACGUCCUGAGGGAGAAAGUGGGGGAUCUUCGGACCUCACGCUAUCAGAUGAGCCUAGGUCGGAUUAGCUAGUUGGUGGGGUAAAGGCCUACCAAGGCGACGAUCCGUAACUGGUCUGAGAGGAUGAUCAGUCACACUGGAACUGAGACACGGUCCAGGCUCCUACGGGAGGCAGCAGUGGGGAAUAUUGGACAAUGGGCGAAAGCCUGAUCCAGCCAUGCCGCGUGUGUGAAGAAGGUCUUCGGAUUGGAAAGCACUUUAAGUUGGGAGGAAGGGCAGUAAGUUAAUACCUUGCUGUUUUGACGUUACCAACAGAAUAAGCACCGGCUAACUUCGUG